GAUGAACGCUGGCGGCAUGCCUAAUACAUGCAAGUCGAACGAGAGGAAGGAAAGCUUGCUUUUCUGAAUCUAGUGGCGGACGGGUGAGUAACACGUAGGUAACCUGCCCAUGUGCCCGGGAUAACUUCUGGAAACGGAUGCUAAAACCGGAUAGGUAGCAGACAAGCAUUUGACUGCUAUUAAAGUGGCUAAGGCCAUGAACAUGGAUGGACCUGCGGUGCAUUAGCUAGUUGGUGAGGUAACGGCCCACCAAGGCGACGGUGCAUAGCCGGCCUGAGAGGGCGGACGGCCACAUUGGGACUGAGACACGGCCCAAACUCCUACGGGAGGCAGCAGUAGGGAAUUUUCGUCAAUGGGGGGAACCCUGAACGAGCAAUGCCGCGUGAGUGAGGAAGGUCUUCGGAUCGUAAAGCUCUGUUGUAAGAGAAAAACGACAUUCAUAGGGAAUGAUGAGUGAGUGAUGGUAUCUUACCAGAAAGUCACGGCUAACUACGUGCCAGCAGCCGCGGUAAGAC
rnacentral:rRNA from 1 species